rnacentral:rRNA from 1 species
GAUGAACGCUGGCGGCGUGCCUAAUACAUGCAAGUCGAGCGAACAGACGAGGAGCUUGCUCCUCUGACGUUAGCGGCGGACGGGUGAGUAACACGUGGAUAACCUACCUAUAAGACUGGGAUAACUUCGGGAAACCGGAGCUAGUACCGGAUAAUAUAUUGAACCGCAUGGUUCAAUAGUUAAAGACGGUUUUGCUGUCACUUAUAGAUGGCUCCGCGCCGCAUUAGCUAGUUGGUAAGGUAACGGCUUACCAAGGCAACGAUGCGUAGCCGACCUGAGAGGGUGAUCGGCCACACUGGAACUGAGACACGGUCCAGACUCCUACGGGAGGCAGCAGUAGGGAAUCUUCCGCAAUGGGCGAAAGCCUGACGGAGCAACGCCGCGUGAGUGAUGAAGGUCUUCGGAUCGUAAAACUCUGUUAUUAGGGAAGAACAAAUGUGUAAGUAACUAUGCACGUCUUGACGGUACCUAAUCAGAAAGCCACGGCUAACUACGUG